rnacentral:lncRNA from 10 species
GAGGAGUCGGAGGCCCGGGCUCUGCCACUACACACUGUGGUCCCCGGGGCCUAGGCUGGGCUGGGCACCAGGGGCUGCAGGAUUUUCUCUGGGGAUGUUCUCACACUGGCCUUGGCCCCUAGAGGAGGGAGGAGAGAAUGGAUCCCUCUCAUACAUCAAUUCAAGGACAACCGAUUUUUCUCUAAGAGGAAGACACCCACACGAAAACCGGAAGGCAGCCUUGAGUGUCGUGUGAUAAGUUUAUCGGCGCCAUCUCGCCAGCCACCCCCUCCCCAGGGUCUCGAUCAAUGGGACACAGUGCGCCUCCAGUCUGAGAGGCUUCCUUGGGUGGGUGGUGGGACUGCAAGGUGGCCCUUUGGCAGAGUCUACAAGAGCUAAAUUAGGUCGCCAAGUGGCCCAUUACCCACAUAAUCUAGCCCUACCUUCCAGAACAACUGAGAAAUGCCUCAGUGGGCAGAGCCUCAAGUCCACCAGAUAACAGGCCCCAACUUGACCUCUUGUCAUCAGAAAUCACUGCCAAGUUUCCAAGCCAGGGAAAGAGCAACAGUCGUGAGGCCUGUUCCACGCACCCACCUAUGAUCCUCUCGCUGGAGGCAGAGAUCACCAGCCUAGAACAGAGCUGAAGAAAGACAGAUACUCUGUGUUGGAAAUUGCAAAAGCUCUCUGCAAGAACAACUCCAUCCGAACCCUGCCCUACGACACUCAACCAAGCUCUAGCAAAGCUUCUGGCAGCCUCAGGCCACACCCCUGGGACAACCCACCGCCGCUUUGCACUCCUGUGUGGAAAAGCUCAGGGCUGCCAAAAGAAUUC